rnacentral:rRNA from 1 species
GUGGGGAAUUUUGGACAAUGGGCGCAAGCCUGAUCCAGCAAUGCCGCGUGCAGGAAGAAGGCCUUCGGGUUGUAAACUGCUUUUGUACGGAACGAAACGGUCCUGGUUAAUACCUGGGGCUAAUGACGGUACCGUAAGAAUAAGCACCGGCUAACUACGUGCCAGCAGCCGCGGUAAUACGUAGGGUGCGAGCGUUAAUCGGAAUUACUGGGCGUAAAGCGUGCGCAGGCGGUGCUGUAAGACAGGCGUGAAAUCCCCGGGCUCAACCUGGGAAUUGAGCUUGUGACUGCAGUGCUGGAGUACGGCAGAGGGGGAUGGAAUUCCGCGUGUAGCAGUGAAAUGCGUAGAUAUGCGGAGGAACACCGAUGGCGAAGGCAGUCCCCUGGGCCUGUACUGACGCUCAUGCACGAAAGCGUGGGGAGCAAACAGGAUUAGAUACCCUGGUAGUCC